rnacentral:rRNA from 1 species
AGAGUUUGAUCCUGGCUCAGGACGAACGCUGGCGGCGCGCCUAACACAUGCAAGUCGAACGAGCGAGAAAGAGCUUGCUUUCUCGAGCGAGUGGCGAACGGGUGAGUAACGCGUGAGGAACCUGCCUCAAAGAGGGGGACAACAGUUGGAAACGACUGCUAAUACCGCAUAAGCCCACGGGUCGGCAUCGACCAGAGGGAAAAGGAGCAAUCCGCUUUGAGAUGGCCUCGCGUCCGAUUAGCUAGUUGGUGAGGUAACGGCCCACCAAGGCGACGAUCGGUAGCCGGACUGAGAGGUUGAACGGCCACAUUGGGACUGAGACACGGCCCAGACUCCUACGGGAGGCAGCAGUGGGGAAUAUUGCACAAUGGGGGAAACCCUGAUGCAGCGACGCCGCGUGGAGGAAGAAGGUCUUCGGAUUGUAAACUCCUGUUGUUGAGGAAGAUAAUGACGGUACUCAACAAGGAAGUGACGGCUAACUACGUGCCAGCAGCCGCGGUAAAACGUAGGUCACAAGCGUUGUCCGGAAUUACUGGGUGUAAAGGGAGCGCAGGCGGGAAGACAAGUUGGAAGUGAAAUCCAUGGGCUCAACCCAUGAACUGCUUUCAAAACUGUUUUUCUUGAGUAGUGCAGAGGUAGGCGGAAUUCCCGGUGUAGCGGUGGAAUGCGUAGAUAUCGGGAGGAACACCAGUGGCGAAGGCGGCCUACUGGGCACCAACUGACGCUGAGGCUCGAAAGUGUGGGUAGCAAACAGGAUUAGAUACCCUGGUAGUCCACACCGUAAACGAUGAUUACUAGGUGUUGGAGGAUUGACCCCUUCAGUGCCGCAGUUAACACAAUAAGUAAUCCACCUGGGGAGUACGACCGCAAGGUUGAAACUCAAAGGAAUUGACGGGGGCCCGCACAAGCAGUGGAGUAUGUGGUUUAAUUCGACGCAACGCGAAGAACCUUACCAAGUCUUGACAUCCCUUGACGAUGCUGGAAACAGUAUUUCUCUUCGGAGCAAGGAGACAGGUGGUGCAUGGUUGUCGUCAGCUCGUGUCGUGAGAUGUUGGGUUAAGUCCCGCAACGAGCGCAACCCUUAUGGUCAGUUACUACGCAAGAGGACUCUGGCCAGACUGCCGUUGACAAAACGGAGGAAGGUGGGGAUGACGUCAAAUCAUCAUGCCCUUUAUGACUUGGGCUACACACGUACUACAAUGGCGUUAAACAAAGAGAAGCAAGACCGCGAGGUGGAGCAAAACUCAGAAACAACGUCCCAGUUCAGACUGCAGGCUGCAACUCGCCUGCACGAAGUCGGAAUUGCUAGUAAUCGUGGAUCAGCAUGCCACGGUGAAUACGUUCCCGGGCCUUGUACUCACCGCCCGUCA